UGUCCUAGGCCGGGGUGGGAGUAUCAGGGGCUCCUGCUGGGAGGGGUACCAGGUAGGCAUCCCAGUCAUGCCUGUCUACCUCGGGAACGGCCGAGGGCGUACAGACAGGCGUGGCUGGACAGACAAGAGCAGAUCAGCAGUCAGACGUCCCGCACCCACGUCCAGGGGCAGCGGGGAAAGUGUGGCUAGCCGCACUCUUCCCUUCCCCCGCCUCCAGGAAGGCCUGCGCUGCUCUGCCCUUCCUUCCCCCUGUUCUUUGGCCUCCCUUUCCCCUCAGCUACAGACCUUUUCCCUUUUCCCUCCGCUGACUUAGCAGUGUGCCGCCGGGCGUGGAGGGAUUAAUCAGUGACAGGAAGCUGCCUCUUUUGGAGCAGUGACCGCUGUGGUCAGGAGAGCCUCUACCCGGCCAGCCCUAGGAGCCUGUCCCACUCCCUGCCUGCUGUCCACCCCCUGCUCCUGCCAUGGGGCACCUCAGGGCCCUCCUCUUCCUGCUGGGAGGCCUGGGAGCGCUCGCCCACAUCUGCGAGUGUUGAGUAAAGUUCCCUGUGCUAUACAAGAUAACCGAGGUGGACAGCACGCUGGUGGAGAGGCUGGGCCAGCGCCUCUUGCCCUGGAUGGACCGGCUCUCCCCGGAGCAGCUGAACCCCAGUAUCUACGUGGGCCUGCGCCUCUCGAGCCUGCAGGCUGGGGCCAAGGAGGCCCACUACCUGCACAGCCUCAAGCUUAGCUACCAGCAGAGCCUCCUGAGGCCCGCCUCCAGCAAGGACGGCAGUGACUCUGAGGCCAAGCCCUCCAUGGGCCAGCUGGCCCUCUACCUGCUGGCUCUCCGGGCCAACUGCGAGUUCGUCGGAGGCCACAAGGGGGACAGGCUGGUCUCCCAGCUGAAGCGGUUCCUGGAGGACGAGAAGGGGGCCAUCGGGCACAACCACCAGGGCCACCCCCGCACCAGCUACUACCAAUACGGCCUGGGCAUCCUGGCCCUGUGUGUCCACCAGAAGCGAGUCCAUGACAGCGUGGUGGGCAAGCUCCUGUACGCCGUGGAACACGAGCGGCAUCUGCUGCAGGACCGCGUCUCCGUGGACACCAUGGCCAUGGCAGGCAUGGCCUUCUCCUGUCUGGAACUGUCCAACCUCAACCCCAAUCAGAGAAACCGGAUCAACCUGGCCCUCAGGAGAGUGCAAGAGAAGAUCCUGAAGGCCCAGACCCCAGAGGGCUACUUCGGGAAUGUCUACAGCACCCCUCUGGCUUUGCAGUUGCUGAUGGGCUCCCUCAGGCCCACGGUGGAGCUGGGCACGGCCUGCCUCAAGGCCAAGGCGGCCCUGCAGGCCAGCCUACAGCACAAGACCUUCCAGAACCCUCUCAUGAUCUCUCAGCUGCUGCCCGUCCUGAACCAGAAGAGCUAUGUGGAUCUCAUCUCCCCAGACUGCCAGGCUCCAAGAGCCCUGUUGGAACCGGCUACAGAGAUCCUGCCACAGACCCACGUCCCGGAGUUCAUUGACGUCACGCUGGAGGUCUCUGGCAUCACCCCUUCUUACAGACACUCUGUCUCUGUCCCUGCCGGCUCCUCCCUGGAAGACGUCCUGAAGAACGCCCAGGAGCAUGGAAGAUUCAGGUAUAGAACACAGGCCUCCCUGUCAGGCCCCUUCCUGACCUCCGUGCUGGGGAAAAAGGCUGGGGAACGUGAGUUCUGGCAGGUUCUCCAAGCUCCUGACACCCCCUUGCAGCAAGCAUUCCUGAGCAUCAGCCCCGUCAUUGGACAAACUGUUAAGGAUCAUCUGUCCCCGCUCCUGCUAUCUGGGACUUCCAGUGGGCACUUGCCAUGUGCCAGGGGAUUGGACCAAGUGCUUUACAGAAGAAAUGGGAGCACCAGUCCUCUGAGAGGUUACAUAACCUGCCCAGAAUCACACCGUUGUGAGUGCAGAGCUGGGGCUUGAAUCCAGGAGUCGUGCUGGAGCCUGGACGGUGCCUCGUGAGUGAAGGCUGACUUCACUCGUGGCCCUGCUUCUCCCCAGACCUCCCCAAGCAGGUAUUGCUGACUACAGACCCAAGGAUGGAGAGACCAUUGAGCUGAGGCUGGUUGGCUGGUAGCCCCCCGGACUCACCCACCCCGCUGCCCCCCACACUUCCUGGUCCCCCGCCCUCCCUCCAGACACCGCGGUGAUGGGCACACGCCUGCUCCUGCUGCCUUCUCUUGCACACUCGUCCCUGGAUCCCACAGCCACCAGCCCCGCGGGGGUCCUAAACCACCGCCUAUCUGGAGCAGCGAGCUCGGCACCUCCCCCAGGAGGUCUGUCUGCCUGGGUCUGGUCCCACCUGGCCCCGCGGGGGUCCCGUGAAGGUUACUCACAGGCUGGAGGGCGUAAACGUCUUGGACUCCUCCCUGGCCGUUGGCCUGGUGAGUACCGCUCGCUCUGGAAUGGGGGUGCCUCGAGGACAGCCUUGCAGCCCUGACCCCAGCUCUCCACUCUGUCAUUGAGGCUGCGCCCCAGAGCCGGCUGCCUUGUAGCGGCUGGUGAGGGUCUCUGCAGAGCUCUCAGCCCACCUCCAAAAUGAUUAAAGAGCUGAUUGUGCACGUG